AUACGUAGGGUGCGAGCGUUGUCCGGAAUUACUGGGCGUAAAGAGCUCGUAGGUGGUUUGUCGCGUCGUCUGUGAAAUUCCGGGGCUUAACUCCGGGCGUGCAGGCGAUACGGGCAUAACUUGAGUACUGUAGGGGAGACUGGAAUUCCUGGUGUAGCGGUGAAAUGCGCAGAGAUCAGGAGGAACACCGGUGGCGAAGGCGGGUCUCUGGGCAGUAGCUGACGCUGAGGAGCGAAAGCAUGGGUAGCGAACAGGAUGUGAUACCCUGGUAGUCCAUGCCGUAACCGGUGGGCGCUAGGUGUAGGGGUCUUCCAGGACUUCUGUGCCGUAGCUAACGCAUUAAGCGCCCCGCCUGGGGAGUACGGCCGCAAGGCUAAAACUCAAAUGAAUUGACGGGG
rnacentral:rRNA from 1 species